UAUGAUCAAUAUCAUAUUUCAUUCUUACAUGUGCAUGAUCACGCUUUCGAGAAGCGAAAUCAGCGUCAGAUUCAUCUUCACCUCCCACCGGUUCCUCUGGGACAAUGGGACACGGUGAAGUGAUGGCGUAGCCAAUCUCAUUCAACGCAAAUUCCAAUUCGUAUUUCUCCCGCCACACAUGAUAGUUGGUGCCAUUGAGCAGUGGGAUGUUUGCUAUGUUCACAUUGCUUUUGACUCCUGAAAUUACAUUAGAGUGGGUGAUAAAACAUUAUUUGAAUUAAAAUACACAUAUAUUCAUUAAUGCAAAACUUUUACAUCACCGUUGGGCAAAAAUAAAAUUAAUGCAUAAUUCUGUAAGACUGCUAUUAACAACUUUGGUCAGAAAAUAACAAUAUUACAAUAUCAUAAAAAUUUAUCACAAUUAAAUUCUCCCGUUGGAUCGAAUUUAAUAGUGAUGAAUAGCAUCAAAAUAUGCAGCGGAAAAAUUCAUAAAUUUUCAUCAUAGCAUUUUCCAGAAACCCAAAUAUUCUUUGCUGUUUUCUGAACAAGCAUCAUCUUUGGAUAAAUUUUGUGCAGAAAAUAGCAUUAAAUUCUAUGAAAGGGUGGUUCACUAUUCUUUUGGCCAUUUCGGCCAAUGAGCUCCCUCCGGCCCCUUGCGUGAGGGAGUCAACAAGCCAGCGGCCCAGCAAGGCAGGCCUGCGCAGGCUGAUUUCAUUUUUUUUUUCAUUUACAUUUUUUUUGAGAAUCUUUUUCAUUUUCAUUUGUUCAUUCUUGGCUUCGGCCUAGUUCCUUUUUUGGCCCAAGGACGCAAGCAGACUCCUCCCCGCCCCAGGCCACAACCUAGGUCUGGACCGGGAUUUGGCGAACCCGCCUAGGCCAAAAGAGGCCUAGUCCCGUGUUCGCCAAUCUUGUUCGUUGAUUUUGAUCCAACGGUUCUCCAUCAAUUUCACAGGGAUAAAAACCCUUGGCCAUGCAGCCUAAAACACUGGUACAGGACAGACCUUUUGUCUCGGUCGAAAACCACCUGUAGUCCCGGGUGGCGAGCCGGGACAAAAGGAUCGGGACUAAAAGUCCCACCUUUAGUCCCGGCUCUCCGACCCGGGACUAAAUGGGGACAUUUAGUCCCGGUUGGUAACACCAACCGGGACUACAUGGGGCACCAGGCAGUGACGUGGCGCCACCCCUGGCCACCCCUUUUAGUCCCGGUUGGUAUUACCAACCGGGACUAAAGGUUUUUUUGUUUUUGUUUUUCUUUUUCCAUUUCAUUUCUUUAUUGAUUUUGGUUUUCAAUUGUAUAUGUUCUACAAUUUAAUCGUAUACGUCGCAAUUAUCCGUAUACGUUGCACCUAUACGAGAGCGUCAUUAUUGCACACAAAUAAAGUAUGAAACUACAUAUAUAAAUUAUCCGUAUAAUAUAUAAAUCUAUAUAUAUUAUAUAGCUAUAAACAUACGUACAUACACAUUACAUUUAGAAUAAUAAUAUUAUGUACAAGUAAUAAUCAAGUGUGCUGCCACCGGUUAAUGAUUACAUAAUGUUUGCCCGCCCACUUGAAAGCCCAAGUUUGGUUUUGGUAAUUAAUGACACCAUGUUGCUAAUGCCUUGUAUUUAAGUGACUUGAGAUAGGCAUAGCAACACAUGUGAUGAAGGUGCAUGGUGGCAUGAAAAGGUGGCCACAUGAUCACAAAGGGAUGAAGGAUGAUGUGAAGAUCAUGGUGAUAGACGAGGAGCAAAGUUAUAAAGGCAAAGGUAUAAACAUAGGGUUUUACUUUUGCCGGUCUAAGAUGAGUAGAGAAGUGAUUGACCGGGUUUAGGAUAGAUAGCCGACUAUCAAGAGGGGAAAUCACGGUCAUCUCUCGAAUCAAGUGCUACUAGGUCCAUAUCUUGAGCAUAUGCAUUAGGAUCUAGUGAAGUGCUAACUUAACUCCUUUGGAAAAAGUUUGAGAAAAGCUAACACACAUGCACUUUGGUGGUGGACACGUGUUGGUGUUAGCACAUUUACAAAGGAGGUGGAGUUCCUAGGGUUGAGAGGGGUUUGGGUUCCUAGGGUUGAGAGAGAUUCGGCGCUUUUGAGAAAAAUAAGUGUAUAUUUUCUAUUGCGCCGGUGGGAAAUUUGGAGAAGUCGCGGGAGUGUUUUCUCACUGAGAAACACUCACCGGACGCUGAGUGCGGAGGCACCGGACGCUGGCCUCAGAGUCCGGUGUGCUUGACCCUGCUAGGGUGGAGCACCGGACGCACUCUGAGAGCGUCCGGUGGUUAGCGUCUGGUGUGCGGG
rnacentral:lncRNA from 1 species